GGAAGGCGCGCCCUUGCGACGUCACGGAAGGCGCGCCCUUGUGACGUCGCAGGGGACCACCACUCACGCAGAGCCAAUCGGAACUCGCGGUGGGGCUGCUGGGUCUUCCAGGAGCGCGCAUGAGCGGACGCUGCCUAUGGGUGGCCGGGCGGGAUGUAACCGGCUGCUGAGCUGGCAGUUCUGUGUCGCUAGGCUUCUGCCCGGCCGCCGCCGCACAUAAGCUGCGAGGAGGAGCUUUACGACUGCCCGGUCUUCGGGGCCGGGCGCAGCAAGGGCCAGACUCUGCGCUAGCAGGCGCUGCGCGCCAACCGGCCAGCACCUGUCGCAGAAGGUGCAACCGAUCGCACUGUCGCGCAGAAGCUCCUCAAUGGCCAGCGCCAGCUGCAGCCCCGGCCGCCCACUCGCCUCAAUCUGAGCCUGGCUGGCAGCCUGCUAUCAAUUACAUUGAUAGUAAAUUUGAGGACUACCUAAAUGCAGAAUCGCGAGUGAACAGAUGUCAGAUGCCUUGUAACAGGGUGCAGUGUUGUUUAUACUUCAUUGCUCCUUCAGGACAUGGACCAUUACAUAACUGAAGACUCCCACCUUCAGGCAGGAUUGGGUAGUACAUGUUUGUAACUACCUGGCAUUGCCUUUUGUUGAGGGUCUCCCUAUGUUGCCCAGGCUGGCCUCAAACUCCUGGGCUCAAGUUAUCCUUCUGCCUCGGCCUCCCAAAAUGCUGGGAUUGCAGGCAUGAGUCACCGCACCUGGCCACCUUUCCACACUUAAGAGAUUCCUGGGAUACUGCGAAGCAGGAGUCCAUCUCCAGACAUGAGGAGCAGGUGGGCUAAAGGAAACAGGACUGGGGAGUCUUGGAGGGGCAGAGCAAUGCCCAGGGACACAGAAACUUUUGAAUAAAGACAAGAGAGACCGACUCUUCGCCUACAUCUAAAGCAAAUGAAAACAUAAAAAUAAAUGAUGGCAAGAAACUAAACUAAAAAUACGCUACCCCUGAAAGUAUGUGACACUGGAUGUACUAUCUAAUUGGUCUGCCACAGGCAGAGAAUGAAGUACUUCAGAUAAGUUAAUUUAUCAAAUAACUAAAAUUAGAUAUAUAAACUUUACGAUUCUGAAAACUUUUUUCCUACAGAUGUGUGUACUUUAGGAAACACAGCAUAUUUAACAUUUUUAUAAAUUUCAGUUGCACACCGUGCAGCUUUCAGGAAGCUUUCACACCGUGCACUGCCCUGCAUGCACCUCCCGAGCCUCGGGCUGUUCAUGCCUGGCUGUCAGAAGUCACCUCCUGGCUGCCAGAGGGGCGAGGGGGCAGGCUGUUCUUCUCAGUGCUAUAAGCAAGCCCAGGACUCCAAGGGAAUGAUAACAAAUGUGUAAAAACCACAGUCACAUUAACCUAUAGGCUCAGGACCCAGUUCUACUUCCUCCAGACAGCUUUUGGGUACUGGUCUCCCUCUCUGUGUUUACAGCCGUCCUGGGUUUGCUGGGCACCUCCGAGUUCAUGGAAGUGCAGCUCCUCACUGCAGUUGGGACACACUUACUCCACUUUGACAAAGGGGGUGUUAUUUUCAGCAGUGGGUGAACAGCAGUGAACAAACCAAGCCCCUGCUCCUGGGGCUCAACUGGGAUGGGGACGCAGACAACUUAAACACGUGACCACUGGCAUACCUAAGGGCCAGGGAAUGCUGCGGACAUGAUGGGGGUGGCGAGGCCAAGGUCCCAGCCAGCAGAAGGUAAGCAUGAGCAAAUCACUUUUUAGAGGUAACUUUGCUGGACUUGUGAAGAAUGGUGUGCAAGGUCCAGAGCGACUGCAGGAGAGGGAAGGUGGGAUUCCCACAGAGCAGGAGCACAGAUGAGCCAAGCAAGGCCCUGCUUAGAAGGCAGCAAUCAACAGAGAUGCACAGACCUGUGAGGGUGCCGGGACAGCCAUGCAACAAUGCAGCCCUUUUGCUUCCUAAGGUCACCAGUUCCCUCGCUCCACCUCUGAGAGGUGGUUUGGAGAAACACAGCCCUUCUCAAGAGGGUUGCAAGACAGAUGGUCAAGAAGUGCUACUAUAAAGCAACUCAGUAUGGUCUGAACUAUCAGAGAGCUACAUGGAGAAAUAGUUACUGCUAAACAGACCUCUCUGCUGAUGUUUUUCCCGGCUACUUAAGUACUGAAAAUUUCCACAAGGCUGAGUCAAAUCUGCAUUUCAUCAUCUAUAAGAAAGGUACCUAUCGAGAACACCCUGCUGGCCAGUGUGUAAAUAUCUAAAGGAGGACUCAGAAAACACCGGGGAAGUCCAGCCUGCACGUGGUGGCUGGGCUUCAGUGAAGCAUGGAGCACAACAGGAGUUGUAAGUAGUAGUUACAUCAGCAGCCCUGGAAAUUCUGCUCAGGACCAAACUGAACAAAUAACAUUAUCUAAAGCUUACAAUUAUUUAACUCCCUAAAUUUUCUGUCCUCCCAGUAGCACUUUCAAAUGCCUAAAAGCAAUUAAAAGAAACAUUUUUCCAAUGUCUCACAGAACCAUUAGAACCACAAAAUUAAUAGCUUCAUAAACUAUAGCUUCUAUGUUAUCCAUAAUAGAAUGAAGGUGCAUAAACCACAUAGUAAUUAAUCUUUGGACAAAAGCAAACAAUAAAUGGAAUAUAUGGCUAAGAUCCUUUCUUUUUGAGUGUGGCCCAAGAUAAAAAUUUCUUCCAAAAGGGUAUCAUUAAUGCAAUAAGGCUUUUGUGGAAUUCUAUUUUGUAUGAAAUUCCUGUUUUCUAUUAGCUACUUCUUCCUCUGUGACACAAGCCUCAUUCCUUGUGAAAAACACGAAGCAGAAAACAUUCGUGAAAUCAUCAGGUAAAGAUCCCACGACCUUUCUAUCACUGACACAGUAUGUAGGUACAUGGUACAACCCCCAAGGGACCACCUUGUGGCAUCCUCAGCAACCACAGAGCCACAGGGCAGAUGAGUGUUUGCUCCCACUGAGGCUCUGCAACCUCUGCCACCAAUACUGGAGAAAUCCUCCAACGUCACUGUUUUCUCCUGAACUUGUUCCCUUGUUUUACGAUUAAUACACAGCAAACAGGCACACCUUCAAGCUGCCAAAAGCAUCUUAAACGUUGUACACUUACAAUCUUCAAAAUAUAGUUGUUCAAAAGAGUCAUCAAAGUAGUUUUUGAAAUAGAACACUUACUUUGACCACAUAAUUGAACCUUCGGGUAUCUUGAAUUGCACUUGAGAAGUCUAACCGAUUAAAGGCUUCUCCCAAGGUGCAAUAGCCAUGCCUCUGGAAGAGCAACACAGAAGUUAAAAUUAGUCAAUUAGCCAAAAAGAAUUGGCAGUUAAUGUCAAUUGUGCAAUUAAAAAAAUUUUUGGCAAAGGACAAUUUGUUUUUAUUUUGAAGACUGAUUUUAGAUUUAGAUGAGAGUAUAGUAAAAUUGUAGCAAUGCUAAUAAUUUAAGCUGUUUAUGUAUACCUGAGACACCGUUAACUGACAUUUUUUAGAACCUGCUGAAGUAAUAGCAAAGACAAAUAUUUAUUAAAUAUCUUGCUGGUUUGUUUUGUUGGGGACAAACUGGGGUGUGGACGACGUUAAAGCUAAGAUCAUAAAAGAACUGGAUUCAUUCUAGGCUACGCAACUAAAAAUACAUAAAUCAUCUGAUUAACUGCAUUGUAAGGAUGUAGGUGUUAUAAAUAUCUAGUUGAAACACAGGAUUUCUCUGCAGGGGAGGCCUGCACUGCCCGAGUUUGAAGUAUAACAUGGGAUUUCUCUCCAGAGCAGCCAUGCACUGCCCAGGCUGGAAGUAUGCUCAACCACAAGGAUCAGGGCUGGGAGAGGCGCUUCGGUAGCAAGAAGGUGCCUCUGAAAACCAGCAUUGGGAUGGAGAGGGCUGAAGGCAAGUGCUGGAUGUGACCAUGGGCAGCUUUCAGGCUGGGAGCACGGAUGCCAAGAACCCAAAACACCAAAAAAACUGGUGCUUAGACCCACAGGUCCAAGAACCGAAGGAAGAAAAUGAAACAAUUUAUUUUCAGUACUGUAAACACUGCUGCUAUUCUCUUAGAUGUUUUUCUUCCAUGAUACACCCUUAUCCUGUAUUGGUUUGUAUAGAUUAGCACAUUAGGUUUCAGAAGUCAUUUUAAACUCCAUCUUCAUCCUCCAUAUUUGAAAUAUUUAAAAUCUACAGAUUUUCAGGUCAAAGUUGUAGAGAUAAGUAAGCUAGAAAACAAUAAUAGAAAACAUGAGAUGAUUGGUCUCAAAUUCCAAACAGGUGACUUGAGAUGUCCUAGAGAAAGCAGCUGGAGUCAUAGCACCUUUGCCUCUAACAGCCGAUGCACUCAGAGGCUCAUGUGCUUCUGUGCGUCAACCCCAAUCGCCCUGACGGGUGCACAACUCAACAAAAUAUACUCAUUUAAAACAUCCAAAUAUGUUGACUGAGUGCCUGCUAUGUGGAAAACAUUUUCCUGGGAACUCUGGGGAAAGGAAACACUCAUUUUGAUAUAGAUUAUAAUCUGAAAUCCAUCACAGCUGAGAUUCCACACGAUGGUGCAGCAGACACUUUCCAAGGUCACCACCCAUCUCACAAAAGGAAAUUAAAUCUGAUUCACAGAGCAGACCACAAAGAGCAUGUCUGGACCUAGAACCACAGCAUGUAACCUCGGAAGCAGUGAGACACCAGCCAGCAUGGACAAGCAGCAGGCACUUGCUCUAUACCAGGUGAGGGUGUGGAGACAUGACAUGGUGCAGGGACACCAGCACCCAGUCCUAGUUCUGGUCCCUCUCAGCCUUGUUAGGUUCUGGUUCCUAGGAUUCCAGGGAACAUCCCCACAGCCUCACAAUAAGAUCCUCCUUUCCUGUAUAUGCUACCUUGGAUGGGAUCCUCUGUUCUGUAAUCAGUAUGGCAACAGAGCAGAUGAAAUAUUUAAUGGUCUUUCAUGAGCACUAAAUGUUGUUUUUUACAAACUAGGUUAGAUUCUGUCAAAUAAUCGUCUAAUGGUGUAUUUGAGUGUAUAUUAAGGAUCUGAUUCAUUCUAUACCCACUAACCAUAACCAAACAGAUUAAGUUUUCUUUCUCAGAAUCUAAUCCUUCAGUUUCUUGGAAGCUGGACUAGUUUCAGAGCAUCUACAAACAUUUCUGGAAUAUUUAACUUACCCUGAAAUAACAUAUGAUAGACAGUAAUUCCCUAAAUUAUUUUCCCCAAUUGUUGCAAAAUAAAGCAAAUGCAGAGUUUCUAGGACUAUAAAAGGAACUCAACUUCCCGGAUCCUAGUAAAGAAACAGGAAACAGCUUGAAGCUCUCUGGUUUGUUUUAUGGCUCAUGAAAAAGCUUUAGCCCAACUUGGCAAAAGAAAGGCAGGGAAAGAGUUCACAUGGCUCUGCACAAACCCAACCCAAUUACUAAUUUCAUGUUAGCCACUCUUUAUGUGGAAUUAGAGGGCUCACAGAUGCCCUGCCCUCCAAAACACGCCACAGGGAGGACACAUUCCCAUCAGCAUCAGGAGUUCAUGCUAACACAGAGAAAAUGCGUAUGACUGCAGGAGUCCAUGCUUGGUUUAAAUAGCCCUGCUGUUGACUCAGAUAUGUACAGGUAGGCAGGAACCACACACUGCACACAUAUACCACAUGCCACCACACACCAUACAUCCCACACACCGAUGUGUGCACAAAUACAUGCACAACCAUACAUACACACCAUACAUACAACACACAUACACCAUACACACAACACACACCAAUGUGUGCACAAAUACACAGCCACAUACCACAUGCACAUGCAAGCACACACAAUGGAGAAUCACUGCCUCAAAAGCUCCUCAUAUGCUAUUAUCUGUCAGAAUGUGAACCAUAGAUCUGAUAUUGCAAAAGAAAUGUGUUUUAUGCAACUUUAUUAAUACAUUUAUUUAAUGUGACUCCAUAUUCAACAGAAACAAUCCAAGAUACUCUUUUAUUUAUAAUAGAAUACUUACUUCUUUUGUGCUUUCUUUAUGGACAUAGAUCCAUUUUUCACGAUAAAAACCUAGAAUAAAAAUUACCUUUGUUUUUAAAAUCUGGCAAAUCAUUUCAAAAUGAAGAUUUUAAAGGAAUUUAAAUAAUUUGACAUAUUAACAAAAUUAUCUGACUUACUAUAUUGACAAGAAAUGCUUUUACUUGGUUGAAUGCAAAAGAAUUGCUUUGUUUCUUAAAUCAGUUUAAGAUAUGAACAAUGAUUUCAGACAGUACCAAGUCCUAGUAACUUAGAAGAAAAUUAGUAUUUAUUAAUGACUGAAGCCAUAUGAAGACGUAAAUGAUUAUAAAAUGCAAUUACAUUACCACAUUCCUAUGUACCCUAAUAAAAAGUUCUAUUCUUCUGUUGCUGUGUAUAGUACUCCAUAGAAACAAAUUUUUCAGAUAAAUCUUAAAAGUUUCAAGAAUCACACUAACUGUAUUCUCCAUGUGACCCUAUCUUCUUCAUAAAGUAGUCCCCCCGUAUUCACAGUUUCAUCUUCUACAGUUUCAAUUACCCACAGUCAGCUUUGGUUUGAAAACAUUAAGUGGAAAAUUCCAGAAAUAAACCAUUCAUAAGUUUUAAAUUGUGUGCCAUUCUGGGUGGUGUCAUGAAAUCUCACACCGUCCUGCUCUGUCCUGCCUGGGAUGCAAAUCCUCCCUUUGUCAAGCGAGUCCUACACUACCCGCCCCUUGGUCACUCAGUAGCCAUCUUGGUUAUCGGAUCACCUGUUGAGAUAUCACAGUGCUUGUGUUUAAAGAACCCUUAUUGUACUUCAUAAUAGCCCCAAAGUGCAAGAGCGGUGAUGGUGGCCAUCUUGCUAUAACUGUUUCAUUUUAUUAUUAUUCUCGUUAAUCUCUUACUGCACCUAAUUUAUAAAUUAAACUUUAUUAUAAGUGUGUAUAUACAGAAAAAAAAACAUAGUAUCCAUAAGGUUUGGUAGUAUCCACAGUUUCAGGCAUCCACUGGAGGUCUAUCCCCUGAGGUAAGGGAGCCUACUAUACAUUAACAUGUGUCUUGGUAACUCACAGAUAUGCUGCAUGAUAGAACUCUAUGCCCUCUCACAGAUAGGUCCCACCUCCAGCCUUCCCCUGCUGCCAUCUAACAUCCUAAACUCCAGCUCUGAAUGUCUGUCUCCUGCUGUGAAUCUUCAGUGACUUCAAAACUCAAGUCAGGACACCUCUCAGUUUGGCCUCACUGCUGAAGAUUGAGCUGAAUUCAUGACCAUAAUUCACGCAUUCAGAUUCAUGGGCUGUUUUGUGGGUUUUGCUAUCUCUUAUUUUGUUUUUGCACAUCUUACCCACUGAAACGUUGGGCUGCAAAAAGUUUGAUCACUAAAUAUGUAGGCAAUGCUGGAUACUGGGCUGUUAUUUACAUAUUUGUAUCACCUUUUAUUUCAUAAGAUAGCAUUGUCAGAGUAAUUUAGUAUUUCAACAUAAUCAACAAGUAAAAUAAAAUUAAUGAGAAUGAUCUUA